CCUACGGGAGGCAGCAGUGGGGAAUUUUGGACAAUGGGGGCAACCCUGAUCCAGCAAUGCCGCGUGAGUGAAGAAGGCCUUCGGGUUGUAAAGCUCUUUUGUCAGGGAAGAAACGGUAGUAGCUAAUAUCUAUUACUAAUGACGGUACCUGAAGAAUAAGCACCGGCUAACUACGUGCCAGCAGCCGCGGUAAUACGUAGGGUGCAAGCGUUAAUCGGAAUUACUGGGCGUAAAGCGUGCGCAGGCGGUUGUGUAAGUCAGAUGUGAAAUCCCCGGGCUCAACCUGGGAAUUGCAUUUGAGACUGCACGGCUAGAGUGUGUCAGAGGGGGGUAGAAUUCCACGUGUAACAGUGAAAUGCGUAGAUAUGUGGAGGAAUACCGAUGGCGAAGGCAGCCCCCUGGGAUAACACUGACGCUCAUGCACGAAAGCGUGGGGAGCAAACAGGAUUAGAUACCCUGGUAGUCCACGCCCUAAACGAUGUCUACUAGUUGUCGGGUCUUAAUUGACUUGGUAACGCAGCUAACGCGUGAAGUAGACCGCCUGGGGAGUACGGUCGCAAGAUUAAAACUCAAAGGAAUUGACGG
rnacentral:rRNA from 1 species